AUGUUGCAUCCAUAUUGUGUUGUCUCUGAGCUUUGCCCUGACACAAUCACCUACAACGAUCUUCUCGUGUUCCGGUGCAUCUGUUGGACAGACACGCCAGAAAAUGUGCCAUUGCGGAUGAACAUCAAGAUCAGACGUAAGUUUAGGGAUCGAGCAAACACAACAAUAGGGAUCCACCCGGACAUGUUCACUGUGCUUAUUAGUGUGCUUAACAACCCUUUCAGGAAGAUAAUGAGGCCCAUCGAGCCAUUAUCGCCUGUGCCAGAUGCCCGAGGCCUCACCAUCGAUGCUGCCGCCCCACACUGUUUUCUUCAGGACACAGAGGUCGACCCUGAUAGAUUCCAGGAGCUAUCACAUUCUAUAAUCCUCAAACGAGAAGAUGGUGUUGAACCCAUAGACACAAAGGAAAUAUUUUCUGCGGUAAUUCAGUAUAUACCAGCGUCAAGAUACGUCAUGGUGAAGCCGAUUAGCUUUGAUGCUUUCCUUGUAUACUAUCAAGGGGAUGUUUAG
rnacentral:rRNA from 1 species